AACGCACAUUGCGCCCAUUGGUAUUCCUUUGGGCAUGUCUGUUUGAGCGUCAUUACAACCCUCAGCCAACCGCUGGUUCUGAACCGGGACGGGGUCACACCAGCACCGGUUUUAAAGUUGUAAGCUCUGCUGGUCGCCCUGCCCAACCGGAACAUAGUAAGCAACUACUCUUGUUCGUAGGUGAAGCGGAAGCGGUACGGCCUGAACAAAACCUACCCAUCUCUAAGGUUUGACCUCAGAUCAGACAAGGAUACCCGCUGAACUUAA
rnacentral:misc_RNA from 1 species